UACGUAGGGGGCUAGCGUUGUCCGGAAUCAUUGGGCGUAAAGCGCGUGUAGGCGGUCCGGUAAGUCCGCUGUGAAAGUCGGGGGGCUCAACCCUCGAAUGCCGGUGGAUACUGUCGGGCUAGAGUGCGGAAGAGGCGAGUGGAAUUCCUGGUGUAGCGGUGAAAUGCGCAGAUAUCAGGAGGAACACCCAAUUGCGAAGGCAGCUCGCUGGGACGUUACUGACG
rnacentral:rRNA from 1 species